GGUAGGACUUCGCAUGGAGAAGUCUGACGGAGCAACGCCGCGUGAGUGAUGAAGGUUUUCGGAUCNUAAAGCUCUGUUGUUAGGGAAGAACAAGUGCCGUUCAAAUAGGGCGGCACCUUGACGGUACCUAACCAGAAAGCCACGGCUAACUACGUGCCAGCAGCCGCGGUAAUACGUAGGUGGCAAGCGUUGUCCGGAAUUAUUGGGCGUAAAGGGCUCGCAGGCGGUUUCUUAAGUCUGAUGUGAAAGCCCCCGGCUCAACCGGGGAGGGUCAUUGGAAACUGGGGAACUUGAGUGCAGAAGAGGAGAGUGGAAUUCCACGUGUAGCGGUGAAAUGCGUAGAGAUGUGGAGGAACACCAGUGGCGAAGGCGACUCUCUGGUCUGUAACUGACGCUGAGGAGCGAAAGCGUGGGGAGCGAACAGGAUUAGAUACCCUGGUAGUCCACGCAA
rnacentral:rRNA from 1 species